rnacentral:rRNA from 1 species
UACGUAGGCAGCGAGCGUUGUUCGGAGUUACUGGGCGUAAAGGGUGUGUAGGCGGUUCUUUAAGUUUGGUGUGAAAUCUCCCGGCUCAACCGGGAGGGUGCGCCGAAUACUGAGGGACUUCGAGUGCGGGAGAGGAAAGUGGAAUUCCUGGUGUAGCGGUGAAAUGCGUAGAUAUCAGGAGGAACACCGGUGGUGUAGACGGCUUUCUGGACCGUAACUGACGCUGAGGCACGAAAGCGUGGGUAGCAAACAGG